rnacentral:rRNA from 1 species
CGCACGGGUGAGUAACACGUAUCCAACCUGCCGUCUACUCUUGGACAGCCUUCUGGAAGGAAGAUUAAUACAAGAUGGCAUCAUGAGUUCACAUGUUCACAUGAUUAAAGGUAUUCCGGUAGACGAUGGGGAUGCGUUCCAUUAGAUAGUAGGCGGGGUAACGGCCACCUAGUCUUCGAUGGAUAGGGGUUCUGAGAGGAAGGUCCCCCACAUUGGAACUGAGACACGGUCCAA